rnacentral:rRNA from 1 species
GACGAACGCUGGCGGCGUGCCUAAUGCAUGCAAGUCGAACGCUUCCUACCGGUGCUUGCACCGGGAAAGAAGAGUGGCGGACGGGUGAGUAACACGUGGGUAACCUACCUACAAGCGGGGGAUAACAUUCGGAAACGGAUGCUAAUACCGCAUAGAUCUUUUUGUCUCCUGGCAGAAAGAAGAAAGACGGUUUCGGCUGUCACUUGUAGAUGGACCCGCGGCGCAUUAGUUAGUUGGUGAGGUAAUGGCUCACCAAGACGAUGAUGCGUAGCCGACCUGAGAGUGUGAUCGGCCACACUGGGACUGAGACACGGCCCAGACUCCUACGGGAGGCAGCAGUAGGGAAUCUUCCGCAAUGGACGAAAGUCUGACGGAGCAACGCCGCGUGAGUGAAGAAGGUUUUCGGAUCGUAAAACUCUGUUGUUAGAGAAGAACAAGGAUGAGAGUAACUGCUCGUCCCUUGACGGUAUCUAACCAGAAAGCCAUGGCUAACUACGUGACAGCCGCCGCCGUAA